AUUGAACGCUGGCGGCAUGCCUUACACAUGCAAGUCGAACGGCAGCGCGGACUUCGGUCUGGCGGCGAGUGGCGAACGGGUGAGUAAUGUAUCGGAACGUACCAUUGAGUGGGGGAUAACGUAGCGAAAGUUACGCUAAUACCGCAUAUUCUCUCCGGAGGAAAGCAGGGGACCGCAAGGCCUUGCGCUCUUUGAGCGGCCGAUAUCAGAUUAGCUAGUUGGUGGGGUAAAAGCUCACCAAGGCGACGAUCUGUAGCGGUUCUGUGAGGAUGGUCCGCCACACUGGAACUGAGACACGGGCCAGACUCCUACGGGAGGCAGCAGUGGGGAAUUGUGGACAAUGGGGGCAACCCUGAUCCAGCCAUGCCGCGUGAGUGAAGAAGGCCUUCGGGUUGUAAAGCUCUUUCGGCCGGGAAAAAAUCGCAUGGAUUAAUACUCUGUGUGGAUGAUGGUGCCUGAAGAAUAAGCACCGGCUAACUACGUGCCAGCCGCCGCAGUAAGAC
rnacentral:rRNA from 1 species